UCUCACUCAUGAAUAACAGCACAGUUUAUUUUUAAGCCUUAUGUUCUGCAAUUUGUCAAUGAUCCAUAAUGACCUGAACAUAAUCCUUAUCAUGUUCAACAGUUACUAGUCAUAUCUGUCAAUGUUUCUUUGGAGUUAAACUGCUUUUCUAUUAAUUUCAAAAAGUUUCUUUCAAAUGAGGCAACGGAUAGAAAUAGUAAAAAUCCACUGGGCAAAGUGUGGCAGAAUUUUAGAACAACUGCAUUUCACACACAUUCCAGACAAUACAAUACCGUCCAUGCUUUUGUUUCUUCAAGAUCAACUGUAAUGGCUUUCAAAUGUCUCUGCUGUCGAAAAAUUCUACUACCGCACACAUCCUCAUGAUAUAACUUCAUAAUACUGGUAAAAACCUCUGCAAUCUUACAUUUUCUACAAAAAUGACAGAAAAAUAGCUGAAUGAUGCAAACGCUGCCAUGAUUUGACCCAUGGCUUCAUGAGUCCAGUUUCUGAUGAAAGAUGUGUUCAAACAAUGCCCUUCUGGUUUCUCCAGCCGUCCUUGAAGCUCGCCUCCUCUUCCUAUUUUGACACUAACCCGCGCCCUCACGUCCUGCCCCCAUGGUCAUGCGCGGUGAGAGGCCUUUCACGCUGGCGCGUCUUCAAGGUGCCAUGAGAAAGAAGCGGGCCGCUUCCCUUCCAUGGCCCAGCACUGACCCUGGCUGCUGGCAAAUACCUAGUGUCUGACUGACCUUGUCUAAAACUUCAAAGCAGGGGAAAAAAAAAAAAAAAAGACGAACUCAGAGAAGAGAAACUGCAUUCAGCGAUCCAUGUUUAUUUCCCAUCUCCUGCUUCCAUCCAGGAGCCCACAGCGCCACAGAGGCGGGAGACACAAGGUGUGCCCAGCGCCCUCCAGCAAUGCCAAGCUGUGCACGUGGUCUUGGAACAGGGGUAUGCAGCCAAGUUGGCACGUGAGGGCCAUUGACUGGGGGUUCCCCAAAUUAGUUUCCACAUAAAACACAAUGUUUACGAAAGGGUAAGUAAUAAGAAUGUGUGAAUCUGAAGCUUACAUUUAUGUUAUUAAAACUCAACAGUAACCAUUAUUCAGAACACAGACGACAGAUGAUGUAUGGCCGACACUGACUGGAAUUGCUGGUGCAUGGUAAUAACGAAAAGCACAUCAGCUUUCAUACAGAUUUAUGAUCACUUUUAAAUUCUCGACAGAUAGUGCCAGCCCCAGAGUGGGUGUUUCCACACUGCAAACAAGGGCGCUGCCCAGCAGCCUGGUGCUGGCCCAGGAAGGGAACAGCACAGACAGAGACACAGGCGUAAGCACAUAACUGGUUCUGUGGGGCGACCUAGAACACAAGAAGGCGCUGCCACACGGAGAAUCAGGAUUGGGCUGAGGCAGCACUGAAACGCCUCACUCCCCUUCAUCGCAUCCCUCAACAGAAGUUUCCAGGUAGGAAGACUGGCGUGUUUUUGAGAGUGAAUGGACUAAGCAAAUGUUACUGGGAACGCUUUUAGAUGUUCUUGGGGAUAUGUAAUCUAAGGGUAUUUUGCAAUAUUUGAAAUAUAUCAAGAGGAAUAAAAAAUACAGUGACUAUCCAUGUACCCGCAAGUCACUGCUAAGACAGUGAACCCCCCGCACACUCGCAAGUCACUAAGACAGUGAACCCCCGCACACCAGCAAGUCACUAAGACAGUGACCCCC
rnacentral:lncRNA from 10 species